CUCCAGUGAUGAUUUUGCCAUGCUAAUGCUGAUGCAGCGGGUGGAUGGCACGUCCUCCUGGAUGUGAUGGAAGUUUACUUUUCUCACUUUGACGGGGU